AUUAGCUGACGAGUCCAAAAUAGGACGAAAUGCGCAUCCUGGAU
rnacentral:hammerhead_ribozyme from 1 species